rnacentral:rRNA from 1 species
AACGAACGCUGGCGGCAUGCCUAACACAUGCAAGUCGAACGAGACCUUCGGGUCUAGUGGCGCACGGGUGCGUAACGCGUGGGAACCUGCCCUUAGGUUCGGAAUAACUCCCCGAAAGGGGUGCUAAUACCGGAUAAUGUCUUCGGACCAAAGAUUUAUCGCCUUUGGAUGGGCCCGCGUUGGAUUAGCUAGUUGGUAGGGUAAAAGCCUACCAAGGCGACGAUCCAUAGCUGGUCUGAGAGGAUGAUCAGCCACACUGGGACUGAGACACGGCCCAGACUCCUACGGGAAGCAGCAGUGGGGAAUAUUGGACAAUGGGCGAAAGCCUGAUCCAGCAAUGCCGCGUGAGUGAUGAAGGCCUUAGGGUUGUAAAGCUCCUUUACCCGGGAUGAUAAUGACAGUACCGGGAGAAUAAGCUCCGGCUAACUACGUG